GAUGAAGACGCAGCGAAAUGCGAUACGUAAUGUGAAUUGCAGAAUUCAGUGAAUCAUCGAGUCUUUGAACGCACAUUGCGCCCCCUGGUAUUCCGGGGGGCAUGCCUGUCCGAGCGUCAUUGCUGCCCUCAAGCACGGCUUGUGUGUUGGGCCUCCGUCCUCCUCCCGGGGGACGGGCCCGAAAGGCAGCGGCGGCACCGCGUCCGGUCCUCGAGCGUAUGGAGCUUCGUCACCCGCUCUUGUAGGCCCGGCCGGCGCUUGCCGACACAUCAAUCUUUUUUCCAGGUUGACCUCGGAUCAGGUAGGGAUACCCGCUGAACUUAAGCAUAUCAAUAAGCGGAGGA
rnacentral:misc_RNA from 1 species